CUCUGCUAAUUUAUUUCAAACUAAAUAAUGAACAUGUGAUUGAAUGCUGUCAGUCUGACCUGAAUCUAACCUUUUCACUCCAUUUCACACAUGCUUUUCCAUCCAAAGCUUCCCUUUUUCACUAAUAUUUGAACAUUAACCAUAAACCUUUAACCUUUCUUAUUUAUGCUUUCCUGUUGUGAUCUUGUGAUUUUCGUCAGCGGCAGUUUUUGCUCAUCCCUCUGACCCCACAUUAAUAACCCACCGGGUUAAUGAACAACCCUAGAGGAAGAGCCUACCUGACACACCUCCUCAUGUGUUCAAAAGCAAAAAGAUCGCACGGGGACAGACAGAAUAGUUUCCCUUCAGCCUGAAAGUAGCUUUAGUUGAUAGUGUGACUUCCAUUGAGGAAGAGGAGAAGAACAAGAAGAAGGGUGACCAACACGUGGUUUUUGUGCGAUGAUGGUUGUGAGCAGCCAGUUGUGCUCCCUGACCCGUUUGGUUCUGCCCGUUCUGGGCUUCGUGGUGAUCUGCCUGGGGGCGUAUCUGGUGACCCUGCAGAACGACUUCACUUUUCUCGUUAUUCCCGUUUAUGUUUUUGUCAUCGGCGGCUUCCUGUCCAUGUUAAUCGGUGUUUUCUGGAACCUCUGCCACAAUAUGAAGAGCAAGAUGUACCAGAGAGGAAGACAGGAGCACAACCUGCAGGUUUUCACUGUUGAAAGACCGAGCAGCUUUCCUCCAUCCUACGAGGAGUCUCAGGAACGCUGGCUCAGCAGUCCUGAUGAUCCUGCUGAGGUAGUGGUGUCAGUGGAUGGGGUGGACGUCAUGGUAACUGUGGCUCCUCCCCUCUACAGCCAGGACAGCUCAGAGGCUCCAGACUGCAGGUGGAGCUGGGAAAGACCUCCACGCUACAGCCAGGUCCAACGUCCACAACAUCUGGAUGUAGAGGUCACAUCUGGACUCUGAGGAGGACAACCCUGACCUAGGGUCAGAAAGAUGAGGACAUGUUGUUCCUCCUGUCAGGUCAAACUGAGGUCAUAAAAUGCACUUUGAGUUGAAACAAAAAAGGACAAUUACCCAGAAUUCUCUGAGGAGACAGAAGUUGGACUGUUACAAGGGACAAUGAAGCAUGAAAUAUGGUGAAAAGAGGUUAAAAGUGACAAUAAUGGGUCAACAUAUGACAUUAGGUGGAAAAGUGGUGGAAAGGGUUUAAAAGUGCCAAAAAUGUGUUAAAAGUAGAAGAAAAAAAAGUGCAGAAAAGGCAUUGAAAUUUGAUGGUGAAGUGUAGGGAGUAAUGUAGAAAAAAGGCAUUAAAAGAAACAAAAUAUGGCAAGAAAGUGAUCAAAAUAGGUUAAAAUAUUUGUUUGGUGUAGUUACAGAAAAAGGAUUAAAAUGAGGGGAAAAUUGUUCAACAAAAAUUCUCUGUUUCUUCAAGGCAUUUGGCGACCCCCUCCUAGUGUCUCGUGACCCCAAAUGGGAUCCUGACCCCAAGGUUGAGAACCCCUGGUGUAGUGUAAAUUUCUCUCUUGUUUCCACACAGGUGACAAACACACAGGACAUUGUGGCUGUUCAAUCUAUUGCGUAUGCAUAAGAUAGAUGUAUUUGCUGUAUUUGUUUUACAAAAUUAUAUUACAAACAUUGAACCUAAAAGUGUUUUUUUUUCCCUCAUUUUGUAAUUAUUUCUUGUUCCAUAAUAUAAAUUGUCUUGUAUAAGAAGAUUUAAAAGUAUUUCUAGUUUUAUUUCCAGCAUAAUAUUCAUACAAACCCAGCCUGAUGAUGAACAUUUUAUGUUAUAUCAUGCAGUGAAAAUUCUUAUCAUGGACCCAAAUCAUGUUAAAUGUAAUAUUUAGCUUGUUUAUGUUCUGGUGUUUUAUUGUGAUUUAAAUGUCCAUAUCAUGCUAUUGUUCAACCAUCAUCUCCAUUUGUUCUAAGAACCCUAAAAACAUAGUAUUUGAUGGUUUAUUUUACCAAACUCGCCUGUUUUCCAGAGUUUUAGCCUCUGAAAAGUCACUUUCUGAUCAACUUUGCACGAACAGGCUGAUUUGCGGCCUACUUAUGCAUAUUCAUGAGUGGGCGUGUCUAUAGACGGGUCAAUGACUUCCUCCUCCCCGCACGGCGACUAGGGCCAGAGGAUGGCCCGCCCUCCUCCCACCCACUCCGUAGCUGAGCUCAUGCUGCUUUAUAAACAUGACACAGAGCGUGGGGGCGGGGCAUUCACAGGUACAUACAUAGACUGUAGAAAAUACAUACAUAGCACUGCGCGAAGGACGCUGAAAUGCUCACCUUUGUGGGCGUGUCUGUUUACAUGUCAAUGCAGGGAGCUUCCUGGAGGCGUAGCUUCUCCAGCUCAGUGUUGCGUCAAAUUUAUCAUCAAAGUUGGAACGCAUCAUCAAAUAGUAGCGAGGUGUUUGUGCUCCCCCUGCAGUAAGAAAGGAGCAAAUCACCUUCUAACUAACGAUUGAUGGAAUCAAUGAAAAAAGCAUGUUGGGCAUGUGUAUGAAGCCAUAAUAGACCUUUAUCAUGUUUAAAGUACAGAGAAGUCCAUUUACCUUUAGACAUCAACCAACAUCCACCAACAUUAAACCAACAUCAUGGGAACAAAACAAGUUUAGGAAAAUAAUCAACAUCCAAAGCAGAGCAAAACACAUCAGUGAAGAUAAAGAGAUGAAAAGUUCUUCAAUGGUUGAUUCAGUCGUUCCAAGUGAAUCAAAAUAAGAACGUGUUGAACGUGCAGAAGAAAGAGAGAACAGUAGUUUAAGUUUAAGGAAUGAUCAUGUUAUUGGCUGUAAAAUGUCUGAUAAAUCUCAAUUUAUCUGCACCGUAUCCCUCUUUAAAAAAAAAAAAACUACUUACCUUAAGUACUUGCUCCUGUUUAUUUUGUUUUUAUCCUGCUAUACGAACCAAUGCAACAAAGGUCUGUUUAUAUCUAUACUGUAAAGUUUAAAUGACAAUAAAGGAAGUCUGUCUCAUUCA
ensembl:lncRNA